GACUCUCGGCAACGGAUAUCUCGGCUCACGCAUCGAUGAAGAACGUAGCAAAAUGCGAUACUUGGUGUGAAUUGCAGAAUCCCGUGAACCAUCGAGUUUUUGAACGCAAGUUGCGCCCGAAGCCUUUUGGCCAAGGGCACGUCUGCCUGGGCGUCACAC
rnacentral:rRNA from 1 species